UUCCAGACUCCUACGGGAGGCAGCAGUAGGGAAUCUUUCACAAUGGGCGAAAGCCUGAUGGAGCAACGCCGCGUGCAGGAUGAAGGCCUUCGGGUUGUAAACUGCUUUUAUAAGCGAGAAAUAUGAUGGUAACUUAUGAAUAAGGACCGGCUAACUACGUGCCAGCAGCCGCGGUAAUACGUAGGGGGCAAGCGUUAUCCGGAUUUACUGGGUGUAAAGGGAGCGUAGACGGCGGCGCAAGCCAGAUGUGAAAGCCCGGGGCUCAACUCCGGGACUGCAUUUGGAACUGUGUGGCUGGAGUGUCGGAGAGGCAGGCGGAAUUCCUAGUGUAGCGGUGAAAUGCGUAGAUAUUAGGAGGAACACCAGUGGCGAAGGCGACCUGCUGGACGACAACUGACGGUGAGGCGCGAAAGCGUGGGGAGCAAACAGGAUUAGAUACCCUCGUA
rnacentral:rRNA from 1 species